AUUCAAACUUGGGUCUUCCUCACUUCAGGUCCUUCACUCUGGUCACCAUACCACCUGUCCUGUCUUCCACAUCCACAAGAAGAGUCAACUGCUAGGUUCAAAGUUAACCCUCUCUGAUUAACAAAGGCAAGCAUUUAAACAAAAAUAACAAGUACAACGAGCAUGAUCUGGUAGUCCUUCGCCUCUAUGCCAGGAGGACAGAGAUCUAUGCUUUCCAUUCAUCUGUUUGAAGAAUGUAAUAGACAGUUUCAGAUGCUCAUCUGGAAAACAAAACAUCAUUUGCUAGUAUACCCAUUUGUGAACGUUGGCACAAAAAAUCUAGUCUGAAUUCUUCUUCUGCUUCAAUUAACAGACCGAUGAUCAAAUCAACCAAUAUUUAUUGAGCCUUUAAUCUGUGUAUUAGGACCUGGCUCUGUUCAACAGCACCUGGUACAUUUUACAAUAUCCUAUCAAGGAAAAUAUUUUCUCCCAUGAAAGCUUCUGAAAUCAUAUCUGUUUGUUUCCAUUUUAUCUUUGAG
rnacentral:lncRNA from 1 species